rnacentral:rRNA from 1 species
UACAGAGGUCUCAAGCGUUGUUCGGAUUCAUUGGGCGUAAAGAGUGUGUAGGCGGUGUUCCCAGUCUGUUGUGAAAUCUCCCGGCUUAACUGGGAGGGUGCAGCGGAAACUAGAAUGCUAGAGGGUGGGAGAGGUAAGCGGAAUUCCUGGUGUAGCGGUGAAAUGCGUAGAUAUCAGGAGGAACACCUGUGGUGUAGACAGCUUACUGGACCACUUCUGACGCUGAGACACGAAAGCGUGGGUAGCAAACAGG